CCCUUGUGCCAAGGUUAAGCGAGUACGUAGUCGCGCAGAUUAGUUAGAUUAGUAUGUGUUGAUACACUUUUGUAAGGGUUCAUCAACGAGACACGUUGAGUGCUGCGAUUACGGAAAAGUGUGACGUGAGACGUGAGAUGCGAGACGCAACAUUUAAGAUAUCACAAACAGAUCGUAACAAGAAACAUUUGGAUGCGGUAGCAGCACAAGAAGAUUUGGCCAUGGCUUCAACAAAAAAAUCAAAUCUGUCCCCCAUGGUUGAUAGCCGAUUUAUGGAAAAGGAUCUCAACGACGUCUUUACUUUUGAAUUUGAAAAGCCCAAAUUUGGGAAAAGCAAAGAAGAAAUCGGCAACGUGCAAGGUGGAAAAGGAAGUGAGUGGCAAGCUCAAAACAUUUAGCUUCAAGACAAGUGAAGCAAGUGCAGUGAAAAGUUUCAACUUUUGGCAGCAUGUAAAACGUAACCAUCCUGAAAACUAUGCAGCUCUGGUUACGAAAAAGGACCAGGAAGAUGAGGCAAAACAGAAAGCUGAUGUGGCUAAACGACAUUCAUCUGGCUCUUUGAAAACUCCUGGAGAAACGAUUUUUUACGGAGCUUCGUCUAAAAAGAAAUUGAGCAAACAAAACUUGACUCAUAUUUGACGUCCUCAAAGGUUACAGUCACAAGGGAUGCCAAUACUUUCUGUGAAGUGCUGAUGGAAAUGGUUUGCUUGAGUCCAACACCGCUCACUACUUUCAGACUAAAGAACAAAGGAUUCCAAAAAUUGUAGGUGAAAUUGGUCGGCAGCUUGGUGUUUCGAUGGGCACGAUAUGGUUCGUCAUUUAGUUGUCAGCACAGCUAAGUCUGGUUGCAAAGAGCUCAAGAAAGCUUUGGAGCAAAACUUGUGCUACAUGAAAAUGGAUGUGGCAACCCGUGGAAACAGAAAUUUUCUUGCAAUCAAUGCUCAGUACUACGAAGAAGGAAAAGAUAAAGCUGGGGUAAAAACCUUGGACAUAAUUGAUACUGAAGGGCGUCACAAGUCUUUGUAUGUGAAAAAUCAAGUAAAAGCUAUUUUAGAAAAAUUUGGAAACAGUGAAAUGCAAGUGCUGAGCAUUUGUGUUGACAAUGCAGCAAACAUGACGUGUGUGCUGUCAAAAAUUUCAGCGAGGACAGUGAAACCAUUUCUACCUCUGAGAACAGGGAUGUGGACAGAACUGAAGCUAUUUUGCCCGAUGAAGGAACAAAAGGAAUGGAUGAAAUCGAACUCAACAUGGAUGCUGCUGCGCAAUGGGUUAAUGACCCUAGCUUCAUACUUCAAACAUGGCUUCAUGAGGACGAUUCAAAAAUCCAGCUGAUGAGGUGUGGUAUUCACACUCUUCAGUUGGCAAUUGGGAUGGACUGAACAAAGAACAUGCGAGGAAAUUUCUGGAAAAAAUUUGACAAGUCAUUGUCAAACUAUGAACCCCAAGUAUUCGAAGUGUUCUGCUUGAUCUACAUCGGGUAGCUCAGUCACUGGAUACUGUAACUCUCUGGGGUUCAACAUUUGCGAUGAUUGAUCGGCUUCUCAUUUUUCAAUCUUACUGUGAACAAGUGGCUGCUGCUGGAACAAGAGAACUCAAGUUAACAAAAGCUAAAUGAACCUGUGAGACCUCUUGGCAAAGCCAAACCAAACAACCAUGAAUCUUCAAGCUGUCGAUGUAACCCCAGGAGUUUUAAUGAACGAAUGGCGAAAACUGUCAAAAUUCUUGCAAGAAAAUGGUGGACAAAUUGCAGAAGGAAUUCUAUCCUCCAUGCAGAAAUGCGAAGAGAAGCUGUUUGACAGUAUUCAUUUCCUUGCUGGAGUUUGUUGACCCACAGUAUCGGAUUCUUCUUAUCUCAAGGGAAAUACCAAAGGCAAAGGAAGGGCUCCUUGAUAUUGCUCGAUGACUCGAAAAACAAAAUCUAUUGCUACAUUUGAACUCGGCGAAAGAGGUUGAAGAAAAUGAAAUACAACAAAAGGAGUCAUCAACAAUCGAAUUUGCAGUUUCGGAAAGUUCACUUCCUUCAGAAAUAGCAGGUUGUUCUCAAACUUCCGUCUCCACUCUGAACUUGUUUGAACGUCCAUCCCUGAGAUGUCUUCAACCAUCACAGGGAAAUGGAGAUAAUACAAGCACCAAUUCUUCAGAAGAUGACGCCUUCAAAACGGAAUCAGAUAAACAAGAAAGACGCUGGCGAGUUUCUGCGAUUCAUAAUUGUAAUAACGUAUUAUUUGAGAGAAACUUUUGGGAAGAUUGUGAGGCGAUAGUCUAUUGGUAGGCUAAAAGUGAAGUCUGUUUUUGAGGCCAUUCACAGCUACCCACACCACAUUCAGGCUGCCUGUAGAAUUGCUUCGAGUAUGCCAACAACUCAAGCUAGUGUAGAGCUACUAUUUUUGGCUUUAAAGUCAAUUUUAAAUCAUAGAAUAUCAGGGUUGGAAGGGACCUCAGGAGGUCAUCUAGUCCAACCCCCUGCUCAAAGCAGGACCAAUCCCCAAUUAAAUCAUCCCAGACAGGGCUUUGUCAAGCUUGACCGUAAAAACUUCUAAGGAAGGAGAUUCUACCACCUCCCUAGGUAAUGCAUUCCAGUGUUUCACCACCCUCCUAGUGAAAAAGUUUUUCCUACUAUCCAACCUAAACCUCCCCCACUGCAACUUGAGACCAUUACUCCUUGUCCUGUCCUCUUCUACCACUGAGAAUAGUCUAGAACCAUCCUCUCUGGAACCACCUCUCAGGUAGUUGAAAGCAACUAUCAAAUCCCCCCUCAUUCUUCUCUUCCGCAGACUAAACAAUCCCAGUUCCCUCAGCCUCUCCUCAUAAGUCAUGUGUUCCAGACCCCUUAUCAUUUUUGUUGCCCUUCGCUGGACUCUCUCCAAUUUAUCCACAUCCUUCUUGUAGUGUGGGGCCCAAAACUGGACACAGUACUCCAGAUGAGGCCUCACCAAUGUCGGAUAGAGGGGGAUGAUCACGUCCCUCGAUCUGCUGGCAAUGCCCCUACUUAUACAUCCCAAAAUGCCAUUGGCCUUCUUGGCAACAAGGGCACACUGCUGACUCAUAUCCAGCUUCUCGUCCACUUUCACCCCUAGGUCCUUUUCCGCAGAACUGCUGCCUAGCCAUGAUUUGCAGCAGGUUAUGAAAGACGACUUGAUUACUGCAAUAAUUUUUUACAGACUGAAUUAUGAAGGAUUCUAGUUUGUAUCAUUGUUGACAUUUAAAUUGUUUUAAAAGUCUGAAUAAAAAUGUUUUUUCAAAA